AGUGAACGCUGGCGGUAGGCUUAACACAUGCAAGUCGAACGGAAGCACAGUAAGAGCUUGCUCUUACGGGUGGCGAGUGGCGGACGGGUGAGGAAUAUAUCGGAAUCUACUUUUUCGUGGGGGUUAACGAAGGGAAACUUACGCUAAUACCGCAUAUGAUCUCCGGGUGAAAGCAGGGGAUCUUUGGACCUUGCGCGAUUGAAUGAGCCGAUGUCGGAUUAGCUAGUUGGCGGGGUCAAGGCCCACCAAGGCGACUAUCCGUAGCGGGUCUGAGAGGAUGGUCCGCCACACGGGAAGUGAGACACGGUCCAGACUCCUACGAGAGGCAGCAGUCGGGAAUAUUAGGCAAUGGUCGCAAGCCUGAUCCAGCCAUACCGCGUAGGUGAAGAAGGCGUUCGGGUUGUAAAGCCCUUUUGUUGGGAAAGAAAAGCAGCAGGUUAAGACCCCGCGGUUCUGACGGUACCCGAAUAAGAAGCACCGGCUAACUUCGUG
rnacentral:rRNA from 1 species